rnacentral:lncRNA from 1 species
CUCGGAUAAGAGGAAGAGCUGAGACUGGAAUUCUGAUUUCCUCAUCAGUAUUUUGAUCACUGAUAGCUGCUCUCUUAAGAGAAGUGACUGACGCUUUGUUGGUGCAGGGAGUAAUGGCCCACAGACACAGGAGACAUGCCUUCUCUCCAUUUCCAGGCUCUGUGAAAUAUGUUGCAAGGCCUAUCUGUCUGCAACAGGACAGUUUGAGCAUUGCCUGCCAUUCAUUGCUCAUGAAAAGAAGGUACAAAGACUGAGGGGAGUCAAGAUCAAAGUCUGUCUUUCCUGCAUAAAACAAGGAUAUUUCUCUGAGGCUUCAGGGGAUAAAAUUCUGUCUUGUGUGGGAUGUCACAGAAUCAUGGAAUGUGAGAACUGGGAAGAGGAAGCCUUCAGGAUCACUGUCGCUGGAAUCCUUGCUUGUCAGAAGAUGGAAUGCUUUAUAAAUUAUAAAGUGCUAUAGCCGUCUCACAUCCUUUUGAGGAGCAGCUGUGUAUAAAUUAUAAAUAAAA